rnacentral:rRNA from 1 species
GGCGAGUGGCGAACGGGUGAGUAAUAUAUCGGAACGUACCCAAGAGUGGGGGAUAACGUAGCGAAAGUUACGCUAAUACCGCAUACGAUCUAAGGAUGAAAGUGGGGGAUCGCAAGACCUCAUGCUCCUGGAGCGGCCGAUAUCUGAUUAGCUAGUUGGUGAGGUAAAGGCUCACCAAGGCGAUGAUCGUUAGCUGGUCCGAGAGGAUGACCAGCCACACUGGAACUGAGACACGGUCCAGACUCCUACGGGAGGCAGCAGUGGGGAAUAUUGGACAAUGGGGGCAACCCUGAUCCAGCAAUGCCGCGUGUGUGAAGAAGGCCUUCGGGUUGUAAAGCACUUUAGUUGGGGAGGAAGGUUAGUGGUUUAAGAGAUGACUGACUUGACUGUACCCAAAGAAUAAGCACCGGCUAACUCUGUGCCAGCAGCCGCGGUAAUACAGAGGGUGCGAGCGUUAAUCGGAAUUACUGGGCGUAAAGGGCGCGUAGGCGGUCAAUUAAGUUGGAUGUGAAAUCCCUGGGCUUAACCUAGGAACUGCAUACAAGA